CCUACGGGAGGCAGCAGUGGGGAAUAUUGCACAAUGGGGGAAACCCUGAUGCAGCGACGCCGCGUGAGUGAAGAAGGCAUUCGGUACGUAAAGCUCUAUCAGCAGGGAAGAAAUACUGACCUUACGGUCAGCAGACGAUACAUGAGAAAGAAGCCCCGGCUAACUGCGUGCCAGCAGCCGCGGUAAUACGUAGGGGGCAAGCGAUAUCCGGAUGUACUGGGUGGAAAGGGAGCGUAGACGGUGCGCCAAGUCUGGAGUGAAAUGCCGGAGCUUAACUGGGGAACUGCUUUGGAAACUGGCGAACUAGAGUGCGGUAGGGGUAAGCGGAAUUCCUAGUGUAGCGGUGAAAUGCGUAGAUAUUAGGAGGAACACCGGUGGCGAAGGCGGCUUACUGGACCGUAACUGACGUUGAGGCUCGAAAGCGUGGGGAGCAAACAGGAUUAGAUACCCCAGUAGUC
rnacentral:rRNA from 1 species